GAUGAACGCUGGCGGCGUGCCUAAUACAUGCAAGUCGAGCGAACAGACGAGGAGCUUGCUCCUCUGACGUUAGCGGCGGACGGGUGAGUAACACGUGGAUAACCUACCUAUAAGACUGGGAUAACUUCGGGAAACCGGAGCUAAUACCGGAUAAUAUAUUGAACCGCAUGGUUCAAUAGUGAAAGACGGUUUUGCUGUCACUUAUAGAUGGAUCCGCGCCGCAUUAGCUAGUUGGUAAGGUAACGGCUUACCAAGGCAACGAUGCGUAGCCGACCUGAGAGGCGGAUCGGCAACACUGGAACAGAAUCACGGUCCAGGCUCCUUGUAGGAGCAGCAGUAGGAAAGCGUACGGAAUGGACGUGAAGCUGACCAAGCGAUGUCGCAUAAGUAGUGAAACACUACUAAUGGUAGAACUCUGUUAUUGGAGAAGAAGAAAUGUGAAAGUAACUAGGCACAUCUUGACGGUACCUAAUCAGAAAGCAGCGGCUAACUGCGUU
rnacentral:rRNA from 1 species